ACACAGGGAAGGAGGUGGUCCGACAAAUUGAGUGACUUAUGGACUUGUGAGGUGGCUGCGAGCUAGCAGCGCCAGGGGAAUGAGCUGACGGCUCUUCGCGUUCUGCGCGCGCUGGCGAAUUCCCCGCAGUCACCCGGCCCCCGAGCCCCUCGGUGUUGUCCAACCAGGAACCAACGGCUCGGGGGCCGACCCAU
rnacentral:sRNA from 1 species